CCUCUGCAAAAAUGUGAUAAGAUAAAAAAAAAAGAAUGAUGAUGUUGGGAUAUUAACCGAGAAAAAUGCGUAGCCAUAACUUGUGUAGGGAGUUAGUGUAUAAAAGAAAGUAUCCACUUCCAUUAUCAACGCAUACCCAAAAUCUCUUUCACCUCCAAAUUUUAUUUUCAAGCAAAUAGACGGAAAACUUUCCAACCUUCCAAUACCGAGUUUUCAAGUUUUCGUUAAGAAGGAGAAUUUCAAGUUGGAGUACUCAUCAUAGAAAUCUCUUAUCAUUCUUUUGAGGUCCAUCGCAAGGAAUUUAACUCUAAGUGAGUUAAUAUUGUUUUACGGAGUUCGGAAGCAUACCAGGUUGAGCUGUGAUGCAGUGGAGGGUGCUAAUUAAACCAGACCUACUUAUAUUUCCAUUCAAUACUCUCGGAGGUUCGUGUCUUCACACAUGGAACCGCGUUCAGUUCCUUCCGCUGUGCAUUGAAGCAAGUGAAAUCAUUUAUGUCCCUAAAGACUCUGAUAACUAGCCAGUAUAUUGUAUGGUCCCCGACUCGAGUCAUUGUGAUCGAGUCAUUCUAUUCAUGUAUUCACCGUUAAUACUCUACAGACAGAAAGUUCAACCAUUAAAUCUUUCUUUUCGUACUCAACCCACAUUCUUAAUAUCCACCCCAGUCACGGUAUAACGAACCUUGCUAUAAUUAGCAAAGUUAGGUCGUGACAGCCAGGGAUUCUAUGUAACGCCGGCGACCACUACCAAAAGGCAGAAAGCGCUGCCAAGUUUGCGGUGGAGGAGUACAACAACAAGGCUGGUGAACAAGGUUUUCUCAAGUUCAUCACAAUAGCAAAUCUCAACGUGGAGCCCACCGCCAGAGCGCUCUACUACAUCACCGUCGCGGCAGAGGACGCUGCCGGUGAGAUUUGUCUCUAUCAAAUGCAGAUUUGGGAGAAACUCAACACAGGAUACCUAGUGCAGAUAUUCCGCCCUGCCCCAUACUGCCUCAAAUCAUCAGAGAAGCUAGCACACAAAAAUUGCUGCCUUGUGAUUAAUAACUUGGUGCCUUGGAUGGAUGAAAAUUAUUUGUAGUACAAGUGUUUCAAAGGUGCACAUCAGAUUUUAGGAAUUGAGAUAUGUCGCGGUGCCAAUGAGGGGGUCGAGCAGUGCCCCCGCCCCGGGCCCCCAAAACGUUGGGGCCUCCAAAAUCCAAAUACAUACAUGAGUAUAUACAUGCUACUGGGCCAGGUCCAAGCAAGAAACAAGAGCCCACAGCAGAGAGCCGCAAAGGCAGGCAGCGCUAAAGCCUAAAUACAAGCUAACAAGCAAAUACUAUUAGUUUAUAGUAUUAUUAUGGGGCCCCUCUUUUAGUUCCGCCCCGGGCCAAUAAAAACUUAGGACCGGGCCUGAAACCAUGCGUACAUAUGGAUGAGAAAUUCUGCAAAGGUGGAACAGAUUGCUCACAAGUAUGGAGGGAGAAAGAUGCCGAGCUCUAAUGUUUUGUAUACUUUUAAUUUAAGCAAUUAAUUAAAAAGUAUUAGAUUUUGAUUUUAUUUAACGGAGUUAGUUUCUAUACACUUUGCAUAACAUUUAUCUAAUAUUUAAUAAAUCUCUCGUUGUUUAUAUUU